rnacentral:rRNA from 1 species
CAAUAGCGUAUAUUAAAGUUGUUGCGGUUAAAAAGCUCGUAGUUGGAUUUCGGUUAAGAGCGACCGGUCCGCCGUUUGGUGUGCACUGGUUGGUUUUAACUUCCUGUAGAGGACGUGCUCUGGGUUUAACGACCUGGACUCGGAGUCUACGUGGUUACUUUGAAAAAAUUAGAGUGUUCAAAGCGGGCUUACGCUUGAAUAUUUCAGCAUGGAAUAACACUAUAGGACUCCUGUCCUAUUUCGUUGGUCUCGGGACGGGAGUAAUGAUUAAGAGGAACAGUUGGGGGCAUUCGUAUUUCAUUGUCAGAGGUGAAAUUCUUGGAUUUAUGAAAGACGAACUUCUGCGAAAGCAUUUGCCAAGGAUGUUUNCAUUA